rnacentral:rRNA from 1 species
GAUGAACGCUAGCGGCAGGCCUAACACAUGCAAGUCGAGGGGUAGAGGAAGCUUGCUUCCUUGAGACCGACGCACGGGUGCGUAACGCGUAUGCAAUCUGCCUUGUACUGAGGGAUAGCCCAGAGAAAUUUGGAUUAAUACCUCAUAGCAUUAUGAAAUCGCAUGGUUUUAUAAUUAAAGUUCCAAUGGUACAAGAUGAGCAUGCGUCCCAUUAGUUAGUUGGUAAGGUAACGGCUUACCAAGACGAUGAUGGGUAGGGGUCCUGAGAGGGAGAUCCCCAAAACUGGUACCGAGACACGGACCAGACUCCUACGGGAGGCAGCAGUGAGGAAUAUUGGUCAAUGGAAGCAAGUCUGAACCAGCCAUGCCGCGUGCAGGAUGAAGCAUCUAUGGUGUGUAAACUGCUUUUGUACGGGACGAAAAAGCUCCUUCUAAUACAGGGGGCCCAUGACGGUACCGUAAGAAUAAGCACCGGCUAACUACGUGCCAGCAGCCGCGGUAAGAC